rnacentral:rRNA from 1 species
AACGGAGGAAAAGAAACCAACAGGGAUUGCCCUAGUAACGGCGAGUGAAGCGGCAACAGCUCAAAUUUGAAAUCUGGCCCUUUCAGGGUCCGAGUUGUAAUUUGCAGAGGGUGCUUUGGCGUUGGCUGCGGUCUAAGUUCCUUGGAACAGGACGUCACAGAGGGUGAGAAUCCCGUACGUGGCUGCAUGCCUUGGCCGUGUAAAGCCCCUUCGACGAGUCGAGUUGUUUGGGAAUGCAGCUCUAAAUGGGAGGUAAAUUUCUUCUAAAGCUAAAUACUGGCCAGAGACCGAUAGCGCACAAGUAGAGUGAUCGAAAGAUGAAAAGCACUUUGGAAAGAGAGUCAAACAGCACGUGAAAUUGUUGAAAGGGAAGCGCUUGCAGCCAGACUUGCCUGUAGUUGCUCACCCGGGCUCCUGCCCGGGGCACUCUUCUGUAGGCAGGCCAGCAUCAGUCCGGGCGGUCGGAAAAUGGCCUCUAUCACGUAUAUUCCCUCGGGAAGACCUUAUAGGGGAGGCGUAAUGCGUCCAGCCUGGACUGAGGUCCGCGCAUCUGCUAGGAUGCUGGCGUAAUGGCUGUAAGCGGCCCGUCUUGAAACACGGACCAAGGAGUCUAACAUCUAUGCGAGUGUUUGGGUGUAAAGCCCGGGCGCGCAAUGAAAGUGAACGGAGGUGGGAACCCUUUGGGUGCACCAUCGACCGAUCCUGAUGUCUUCGGAUGGAUUUGAGUAAGAGCAUAGCUGUUGGGACCCGAAAGAUGGUGAACUAUGCCUGAAUAGGGUGAAGCCAGAGGAAACUCUGGUGGAGGCUCGCAGCGGUUCUGACGUGCAAAUCGAUCGUCAAAUUUGGGCAUAGGGGCGAAAGACUAAUCGAACUAUCUAGUAGCUGGUUCCUGCAGA